rnacentral:lncRNA from 1 species
GGUCGGCCCGCCCUACGGGCGGGAUGUGAUGUAUUGUCUAAUAGCUAAGAAUUCAGGUAUAUAUUUUCUCAAUGAAUUUUUGUAUGUUCAUUUGUUGGAUAGUGUGAUAAAUUUUACUGGUUAGUCAUGUUUACACCAGUUUAUGAGUGUUAUUGGUACGUUUGCAUUGUAGUUGUAUUUAGACUAUUAACUUGGAUGACCAAUUUGGUUCUGAAACAACAAAUAUAGCAUUAAUCCAUGUAAGAGUUUUCUAAUGAACUAAUGAAGUAGAGAGUAACUUAUUGAAUUUGAU